rnacentral:rRNA from 1 species
GAUGAACGCUGGCGGCGUGCCUAAUACAUGCAAGUCGAGCGAACAGAUGAGGAUCUUGCUCCUCUGACGUUAGCGGCGGACGUGUGAGUAACACGUGUAUAACCUACCUAUAAUACUGGGAUAACUUCGGGAAACCGGAGCUAAUACCGGAUAAUCUAUUGAUCCGCAUGGUUCGAUAGUGAAAGACGGUUUUGCUGUCACUUAUCGAUGGAUCCGCGCCGCAUUAGCUAGUUGGUAAGGUAACGGCUUACCAAGGCAACGAUGCGUAGCCGACCUCAGAGAGUGAUCGGCCACACUGGAACUGAGACACGGUCCAGACUCCUACGGGAGGCAGCAGUAGGGAAUCUUACGCAAUGGGCGAGAGCCUGACGGAGCAACGCCGCGUGAGUGAUGAAGGUCUUCGGAUCGUAAAACUCUGUUAUUAGGGAAGAACAACUGUGUAAGUAACUAUGCACGUAUUGACGGUAACUAAUCAGAAAGCAACGGCUAACUACGUG